AAUCCAUAGGUUAAUGAGGCGAACCGGGGGAACUGAAACAUCUAAGUACCCCGAGGAAAAGAAAUCAACCGAGAUUCCCCCAGUAGCGGCGAGCGAACGGGGAGGAGCCCAGAGCCUGAAUCAGCAUGUGUGUUAGUGGAAGCGUCUGGAAAGGCGCGCGAUACAGGGUGACAGCCCCGUACACAAAAGCGCAUGUGCUGUGAGCUCGAUGAGUAGGGCGGGACACGUGGUAUCCUGUCUGAAUAUGGGGGGACCAUCCUCCAAGGCUAAAUACUCCUGACUGACCGAUAGUGAACCAGUACCGUGAGGGAAAGGCGAAAAGAACCCCGGCGAGGGGAGUGAAAAAGAACCUGAAACCGUGUACGUACAAGCAGUGGGAGCACAGGUUUACCUGUGUGACUG
rnacentral:rRNA from 9 species